rnacentral:lncRNA from 1 species
CGUCAAAACAUUUGGUUAAUGAUUAACAUUUAACCGAAUUUAGCCGUUGAUUGACAACUACAUAAAAAUACUAACCAAUCCGUUUUUCCCGUUCACCAGCGGACGGGUAAUUCAAAAACCCCCAGUUUUGCGGCAGACGGUAUUUCCUUUGCUUCCCUAAUUUUCGCUGCCCGUAGAAAUACCGCCUGCCAUGCAGGCUAAUGG